UCUGGUAAUGCAGAACCUCUUCGGACGUUAGGAGACAGGUGGUGCAUGGUUGUCGUCAGCUCGUGUCGUGAGAUGUUUGGGUUAAGUCCCGCAACGAGCGCAACCCUUAUCUUUAGUAGCCAGCAGUAAGAUGGGAACUCUAAGAGGAGACUGCCGGGGAUAACCGGGAGGAAGGUGGGGAUGACGUCAAAUCAUCAUGCCCCUUAUGACCAGGGCUACACACGUGCUACAAUGGCGUAAACAAAGUGAAGCGAACCCGUCGAGGGUGAGGCAAAUCACCAAAAAUAACGUCUCAGUUCGGAUUGUAGUCUGCAACUCGACUACAUGAAGCUGGAAUCGCUAUAAUCGCGAAUCAAAUGUCGCGGUGA
rnacentral:rRNA from 1 species